ensembl:lncRNA
GGAAAACUGAAUAACAAAUAAAACAGCAGGAAAGACUAGGUCACCCGAGAAGCAACGCAUGUUCUCCAGCGCAAACAUGGAGAUUGGUUUUCCAGGAAAGCCUCAAUUCUUCCCCAUCAACAUCAAAGUGAGAGCUGUGUACCUGAGGCCUGCCCUCGGCUGGUACCAUUCAGGCAGGCUUUCAUCCUGACCAGAAGCCCACCUUCAGCUUGUACCGUUCGGGUGGGCUCCCUUUCUUGGUUAAGAACCUGCCUUCAGGUUUUUCUGCCAUCAGGCAAGGUCCUUUUUUUGAGUCCCUGCAUUUUCUCGGCUCCCCGCACGUGUGGUGUCCAUUUCUAGAAAUAACAGUUGAAAUGCUUUCUGUGUGAUAUUGCAAAAAUGCCAAAAUCUAAAUUUCAUACUUGUUAAAUCAUUGUCUUUUAAUUACAAAGAAGAAAGAAUUAUUCUAAGAAAGCAAGCACUUUCUCCGUAAUUCACUUAUAAUUUAAAAUCUUCACAAUUAUUUCAAAUGUUAACUGCAUUUAUAAGGCCUUCUCCAGGGAGCAAGGAAUUUCUUAAAGGCAUUAUCUCAUCAGCCCUAUUAGUUCUAAUGGGAUGGAAAAAAAAUGGAGCAGAUAUUUAAAAAUCUCUUUCAUUCAUCUUAUGAAGGAUAAAAGAUAAGCAAGAGAUGCCUUUUAUUCAACUUAACACAUUUUGACCAGAGCGCUCUAAUGAUAAGUUGCUUUCAUAUCUUGGCUAUCGGGACGAACCAUCAGGAGUAUUGGAAAGCUGUUAUCUGUGAAAGCAACAGUGCAGUGAACGGCAAUGAUGGAUGUCUAUUCAUUAUCCUAAGCUGCAUAGCAAUGUUAUCUCAAAGUUUGUGGCUUAACGCACCUUUAUUAUCUCACAGCGUGGGGGUCAGGAGUCCAGGCACAGCUUAGCGGGGUCCUCUGCAGCAGAGUUUCACAAAGCUGCCCUCAAGGUGUCGGCCAGGGCCUGUGUCUCAUCUGAAGGCUUGACUGAGGAAGGAUCCACGUCCAAGCUGUCAUGGUUGUUGGCAGAUUUCAGUUCCUUGCGGUUGGAGGACUGAAGGAUAUGGGUCUCUACUAGCCGUUGGCUGAAAGAUCCUCAGUCCCUAGAGGGGGCCCUCAGUUCUUUGCCACCCCAGCAAGGGUCACUGACUUCAUAAAACCAGCAAGGGAGAGAGUCCCCCAAUGUUACCUAAUCACGGAAGUGACACCUCAUUGCACGAGCUAUAUUCUGUUGAAUAAAAGCAGCUCACAGUUCCUGUCUACACUCAAGAGGAAGGGAUCACACAAGGGAGUGAAAACAAGAAGGCGUGGAUCAAAGGUCCACACUGGGUCUGCCCACCACAGUGUCCAAACACACUUCCUUUCCUAUCUUAAUGCCCCUUCCUUUUUUGGAUUCUUUGGUCAGAAGACCUUGACCUCUGCUGCCCAUCAAAAUCUUUUUUAAGAAAAGGAAUUUAUCCGUGUAUGUGUGUCUUUGAAUGACUGGGUCACUUUGCUGUACAGGAGAAAUUGGCACAACAUUGUAAACCAACUGUACUUUCAUUAAAACAAAGUUUUAGGAAAAAAAUCUUUUUAUCUAAGUAGUGAACGAAUGCUAUCAAGUUCAUAGAAAUACAAUAGGAAAAAAGACAACCUGCCGUGGAAAAAUAUUAAAAAUCAGUGUUUUAUAACAAGUUUAACUGCGUUAAUAGUUAAGUAAAAUUUCAUAAAACAGAAGGCUUUUUGUUUUCUCCUGCUUGUUUAUGCUUCUGGUGCCAUUUUGUUGGCGCGUGUUCAGAAAAUAAUUGCAAAUCUAAAUCAGUGAGUACAAAAGUCCUAAUGAAACCCAGUCACUACAAAAGAAUUCCACUAAAUAGCUUAGAAAAGGCUGUGGAUUUUGUUCCCCUAAGUGUGGUUAAAAAUAGCCACAAGCCCCAACAGAAGGCAGGACGGCAUCAAUGCAGAAUACUGGUCACAAGCAGAUCAAAACGCACUCAUUUUGAUGGACGGUGAGUCCAUCCAUAUCACCGGAUACAUCUCUUAAUAAGCGAAAUGAAAGAAGUAAGACCAAUUAGUAAUGGUCUUCCCCUCGUUUCAGAGGCGGCUGUGCAACAGAAUGAAGGGUCUGUGGCAAGAAGGCGACAGUGUUAGUAUAUUACAGCUGCCAGGCAAGAACAAAGGAUCAUUAGCUUAUACUUCUGUUACAGGAGAUCACUCCCGACCCCAAGGUAGAGAGAUUAUGUAUAGUGAUGAGAAAUCACGCACCGAAUUUUUAUGUGGGUGUCCUGCAGACGAUUACAAGGAGAUCCAGUUCUAUCUCACCAACUUCAGCAUUAUUUUAAAACAUUUCUGGUUUUGAUGUUAAUUCUGUCAAGAAUGCAUGGUAUAAAUCUUUAUGGAAACGUAUCUAAAAAUGCAGAGUAGCUGAUUUUAGUCAAGCUGAUAUUUUGGCAUGUCUAAUCUGUUUUCUUUAAAUACUGGCUGUUCAUUCCAUGAACUUGCUCCGUCAUGCUUACAAUCUAAGCAUCACAGAGAAGAGACAUUGAUGCAUGAGAUAGGAGCCAGGGAAGCUUAUGUCCAGGGAUGGCCUUGUAGAAGCAGAGGCUCCCCAGACAGCUGAAUGCGCGAGGAGACCGCCCCUGUACUGCUGUUUGGACCUGCUUCCUCAUCCACAGAACCAACAUCAACAUCAACAGCCAGAGAACUUUCAGGCACUACCUUAUAAUGCAAAUUUGAGUGACACCCUCUGUAUUAAUGGGAAAUGUAGGCUUGGAUUUUCUAUAUCCACACCUAUAUUUUCUACAUCACUCUCUCUGCCUAAAAAAAAA